UACGUAGGCAGCGAGCGUUGUUCGGAGUUACUGGGCGUAAAGGGUGUGUAGGCGGUUGUUUAAGUUUGGUGUGAAAUCUCCCGGCUCAACUGGGAGGGUGCGCCGAAUACUGAAUGACUUCGAGUGCGGGAGAGGAAAGUGGAAUUCCUGGUGUAGCGGUGAAGUGCGUAGAUAUCAGGAGGAACACCGGUGGUGUAGACGGCUUUCUGGACCGUAACUGACGCUGAGACACGAAAGCGUGGGGAGCAAACAGG
rnacentral:rRNA from 1 species